CAUGCAAGUCGAACGCUCCGCAAGGGGAGUGGCAGACGGGUGAGUAACACGUGGGAAUCUUCCUAUCGGUACGGAAUAGCUCAGGGAAACUUGGGGUAAUACCGCAUACGCCCGCAAGGGGAAAGAUUUAUCGCCGAUAGAUGAGCCCGCGUCUGAUUAGCUAGUUGGUGAGGUAAUGGCUCACCAAGGCGACGAUCAGUAGCUGGUUUGAGAGAAUGACCAGCCACACUGGGACUGAGACACGGCCCAGACUCCUACGGGAGGCAGCAGUGGGGAAUAUUGGACAAUGGGCGCAAGCCUGAUCCAGCCAUGCCGCGUGAGUGACGAAGGUCUUCGGAUUGUAAAGCUCUUUUAGCAGGGAAGAUAAUGACGGUACCUGCAGAAUAAGCCCCGGCUAACUUCGUGCCAGCAGCCACGGUAAUACGAAGGGGGCUAGCGUUGUUCGGAAUUACUGGGCGUAAAGCGCACGUAGGCGGAUUGAUAAGUUAGGGGUGAAAUCCCGGGGCUCAACCUCG
rnacentral:rRNA from 1 species